rnacentral:misc_RNA from 1 species
GUCAAAUUGGAGGAAGAUGUCAAAUGCCCAAUUGCAUUGAGCUUGCGAAAUGGAAUGUCCAGUAGACUCCAUUUCCUGGGGAAGGACAUCGAGCAGCCUACAAAUGGGAGCAUACAAACGUCGAGCUUGGUUUACACUUUGAGAGAAACUGAUACAGAGACGAGCGGUUUGCUCACUGUCAUCCAAGUACUUAGCGAUAAGUUGGUUUAGGGCUUCUGGUUUUAUAUGCAAAAGUGCCUCUUCAACACACUCAUGAUUUGGUUUAAGGAUAUCUUCUAGUUGCAGCGGCUCCUCCUGGAACUCAACUUGUGCUACCUCCACACUAAGGUCAGAAGGGACCUCAUGGUGGACCUUGGACCAUAUCUCGCCGUAAGAAGAAGUUUUCACUGCAAGGGUAUAUGCUCGUGAUAGGUUAACGGUAGGUGAAGGUUG